rfam:Caldanaerobius fijiensis DSM 17918 genome assembly, contig: EJ21DRAFT_scaffold00029.29
GACAACUGACUCAUUGAAUUCAGAGGUGAAAUUCCUCUGCCACACAGAACCGACGCUGAUGAGGCGUACCAAAGCUGAAGCGGUGUGCGUGUUGAUACUCCUGUAUGCCAUCAUGUAUUGCUGUAUAUGGUGGUAUAAAGCCAGGUGAAGCCGAAAGGCGAGGAUGAUAAUGGUGCGGACAUCCAGGCU